GGAAUAUUGGACAAUGGGUGAAAGCCUGAUCCAGCCAUCCCGCGUGAAGGACGACGGCCCUAUGGGUUGUAAACUUCUUUUGUAUAGGGAUAAACCUUUCCACGUGUGGAAAGCUGAAGGUACUAUACGAAUAAGAACCGGCUAACUCCGUGCCAGCAGCCGCGGUAAUACGGAGGGUGCAAGCGUUAUCCGGAUUUAUUGGGUUUAAAGGGUCCGUAGGCUGAUUUGUAAGUCAGUGGUGAAAUCUCACAGCUUAACUGUGAAACUGCCAUUGAUACUGCAAGUCUUGAGUGUUGUUGAAGUAGCUGGAAUAAGUAGUGUAGCGGUGAAAUGCAUAGAUAUUACUUAGAACACCAAUUGCGAAGGCAGGUUACUAAGCAACAACUGACGCUGAUGGACGAAAGCGUGGGGAGCG
rnacentral:rRNA from 1 species